CAACUACUCCCUCUGUCCCAAAUUUCUUGUCUUAGAUUUGUCUAGAUACGGAUGUAUCUUGAUACAUCCGUAUCUAGACAAAUCUAAGACAAGAAUUUUGGGACGGAGGGAGUACUUU
rfam:Triticum aestivum genome assembly, contig: Triticum_aestivum_CS42_TGACv1_scaffold_578290_7BL